ACUGAGGAACGCCGCGUGCCGGAAGACGGCCUUCGGGUUGUAAACGGCUUUUGUCGGGGAAGAGAUGGACGGGACGCGACGAAUAAGGGCCGGCUAACUCCGUGGCGGCAGCCGCGGUAAGACGGAGGGGGCAAGCGUUGUCCGGACUCACUGGGCGUAAAGGGUGCGUAGGCGGGGCAGAGCGUCGACACUGAAACCUCCUGGCUCAACCAGGAGACGCGUGGCGAUACGUCUGAACUCGAGGCAAGGAGAGGUGCGCGGAAUUCCGGGUGUAGUGGUGAAAUGCGUAGAUAUCCGGAGGAACGUCGGGGGGGUAAGCGGGGCACUGGUCUUGACCUGACGCUGAGGCACGAAAGCGUGGGGAGCGAACCGGAUUAGAUACCCGGGUAGUCCACGCAGUAAACGAUGUCGGCUCGGGGUGCAGUGGUGUAUACACACCACCGCGUGCCCCAGUUCACACGGUAAGCCGACCGCCUGGGGACUACGAGCGCAAGCUUAAAACUCAAAGGAAUUGACGGGGGCCCGCACAAGCAGCGGAGCGUGUGGUUUAAUUCGACGCAACGCGAAGAACCUUACCCAGGUUUGACAUGGUACUGCAAGCGCACGGAAACGUGUGACCUUCGAGGGUGUACCACAGGUGCUGCAUGGCUGUCGUCAGCUCGUGUCGGGAGAUGUUGGGUUAAGUCCCGCAACGAGCGCAACCCUCGCUGCCAGUUACUCGUGUCUGGCGGGACAGCCCUCUUUGAAGGGGGAGGAAGGCGGGGAUGACGUCAAGUCAGCAUGGCCCUUACGCCUGGGGCGACACACACGCUACAAUGCCGACCACAAUGCGUGGCAAACCCGCAAGGGGGAGCUAAUCGCCAAA
rnacentral:rRNA from 1 species